rnacentral:rRNA from 1 species
UACAGAGGUCUCAAGCGUUGUUCGGAUUCAUUGGGCGUAAAGGGUGCGUAGGCGGCGCGGUAAGUCGGGUGUGAAAGUCAAGGGCUCAACCCUUGAAAGCCGGUUGAUACUGUCGGGCUAGAGUCCGGAAGAGGCGAGUGGAAUUCCCGGUGUAGCGGUGAAAUGCGCAGAUAUCGGGAGGAACACCAAUGGCGAAGGCAGCUCGCUGGGACGGUACUGACGCUGAGGCGCGAAAGCGUGGGGAGCAAACAGG